ACUCACAGAAAUUGAAGAAUCGACAUCUUCGAGAGAAGAACUAGUGAACGAUGGUCGUAGAUGCUGAAGCAAAAUCCUCUGCCUCUCAGUUGCUUUCUCCAUUUCUCUCUUUCUCUAUAAAUAUAUAAUCAGAGCAGAAAAUUGGGGAAAUGAAGAUUACAAAUUUGAUGCGUGUUUGCGUGUAUUUAUAUAUGAAUGAAGAGUUCAUAGGGAAGUGUGAAAAUGAUAAUACUACUAUCAUAGAUCCAUUUUUCUGACACAUCCUUACUCCCUCCGUCCAUGAAAUGAGUACCCAUAUUUCUUUUUUCGUUCGUCCUGGAAAUAAGUACUCAUUUCCCUUUUGGGCAAGUGUAUCUCACAUAUCUCUUUAAUUAAUACACUAAAAAAAUG
rnacentral:lncRNA from 1 species